GGCCACAGCCAUAUCACCCUGCAGGCGAAGACCGGUUUCUAACUGAAGCUAAGCAGGGCUGAGCCUUGUCAGUGCCUGAAUGGAAGGCCACAUGGGAAAACUAGGUUGCUGUUGGAA
ensembl:rRNA 5S_rRNA 5S ribosomal RNA